AAUUUUGGACAAUGGGGGAAACCCUGAUCCAGCCAUCCCGCGUGUAUGAUGAAGGCCUUCGGGUUGUAAAGCUCUUUUACCAGGGAUGAUAAUGACAGUACCUGGAGAAUAAGCUCCGGCUAACUCCGUGCCAGCAGCCGCGGUAAUACGGAGGGAGCUAGCGUUGUUCGGAAAUACUGGGCGUAAAGCGCGCGUAGGCGGCGUCGUAAGUCAGGGGUGAAAUCCCGGGGCUCAACCCCGGAACUGCCCUUGAAACUGCAGCGCUAGAAUCUUGGAGAGGUCAGUGGAAUUCCGAGUGUAGAGGUGAAAUUCGUAGAUAUUCGGAAGAACACCAGUGGCGAAGGCGACUGACUGGACAAGUAUUGACGCUGAGGUGCGAAAGCGUGGGGAGCAAACAG
rnacentral:rRNA from 1 species